ACGUAUGGUGCAAGCGUUAUCCGGAUUUACUGGGUGUAAAGGGAGCGCAGGCGGUGCGGCAAGUCUGAUGUGAAAGCCCGGGGCUCAACCCCGGUACUGCAUUGGAAACUGUCGUACUAGAGUGUCGAAGGGGUAAGCGGAAUUCCUAGUGUAGCGGUGAAAUGCGUAGAUAUUAGGAGGAACACCAGUGGCGAAGGCGGCUUACUGGACGAUAACUGACGCUGAGGCUCGAAAGCGUGGGGAGCAAACAG
rnacentral:rRNA from 1 species